CAAUAGCGUAUAUUUAAGUUGUUGCAGUUAAAAAGCUCGUAGUCGGAUUUUGGCUGAGAACGAACGGUCAGCCGUUAGGUGUGCACUGUUUGGUCUCAGCUUCCUGGUGAGGAGGUGUGCUUCACGGCCACUUAGUCACCGUGGUUACUUUGAAAAAAUUAGAGUGUUCAAAGCGGGCUUACGCUUGAAUAUAUUAGCAUGGAAUAACACCAUAGGACUCCUGUCCUAUUUCGUUGGUCUCGGGACGGGAGUAAUGAUUAAGAGGAACAGUUGGGGGCAUUCGUAUUUCAUUGUCAGAGGUGAAAUUCUUGGAUUUAUGAAAGACGAACUUCUGCGAAAGCAUUUGCCAAGGAUGUUUUCAUUGA
rnacentral:rRNA from 1 species